GUGAUCGUCGAAUCUGUUGACCUGGCGCCACCGGAAAAAGAAAUUCCCGGGCCCUGGCUUCUUGGCCUGAUGGCACUGCUAGCCUUGAAGCCUCCAGCCUGCUGGAUGCCUCCAUCCCCGGCUAUGCUGUGGCUCUCCUCAUUCUAGGCCUCCUGCUCGUCACAUUCACCCUUGUCCUGGUGCUAAAGUGGAGGGCCUCCCAUGGGGUGUUCAGCCUGGGUGUGUAGAAGCACACAGUGUGGUACAGAGGACCCUCUCCAGACAGAAAUGAUGCUGGGAGCUGACAGAAACUGAACUUAGGAGCACAGGAGGCCAGGAGACCUGGGACAGAGAACAGGAGGUGACCCCUCAUGCUGCUGCUCCCUCUGCUGAAACCCAAACUGCAAACCUCUCCUCUCCCUGCCUUCACCUUGCCCCACGGCUUCCACAGACAGUGCCUCAACCCCGAGGAAUGAAUCCGAAGUUCCAACACCACUGACUUUCCCAGGAACUCAGAGCCAGAGAGGGCCAAGGACCAGCUCGAGGACACACAGCCAGGGCUUCUUCCCUCCGAAACCCCCAAGGACUGGACUUGCAGGGCUGGGACAGAGGUGGGGUGGGGGAAAGCAAUGCCUUGUCAACCCACGUGGGGAGCCCCACUCCCAUCCCCAAGGUGCAUAAAGUUGAGGAACACCCCUGC
rnacentral:lncRNA from 1 species